UACGUAGGGUGCAAGCGUUGUCCGGAAUUAUUGGGCGUAAAGAGCUCGUAGGCGGUUUGUCGCGUCGGCUGUGAAAGCCCGGAGCUCAACUCCGGGUCUGCAGUCGAUACGGGCAGACUUGAGUGUUGCAGGGGAGACUGGAAUUCCUGGUGUAGCGGUGAAAUGCGCAGAUAUCAAGGAGGAACACCAGCGGCGAAGGCGGUGCUCUGGGCCGGAACUGACGCUGAGGGAGCGAAAGCGUGGGGAGCGAACAG
rnacentral:rRNA from 1 species